UACGUAGGGUGCAAGCGUUGUCCGGAAUUAUUGGGCGUAAAGAGCUCGUAGGCGGCUUGUCGCGUCGGCUGUGAAAACCCGAGGCUCAACCUCGGGCCUGCAGUGGGUACGGGCAGACUAGAGUGCGGUAGGGGAGAUUGGAAUUCCUGGUGUAGCGGUGAAAUGCGCAGAUAUCAGGAGGAACACCGGUGGCGAAGGCGGUUCUCUGGGCAUGUCCUGACGCUGAGGAGCGAAAGUGUGGGGAGCGAACAGG
rnacentral:rRNA from 1 species